rnacentral:tRNA from 1 species
UAUACUUGAGUAUUUAUGUAUAAGAAUUUUUGGUAUUCUAGGUAAUAGGUAAAAUCUAUUAAGUAUAU